AUGCGCCAUCCCGCCCCUCUACCCCCGGGCUUCCAUGGUUUGCGGGAGCUAAGGAAUUUUACUCUCAUCAACGUCCAGUUACAGAAGAAGGGGGAUUACCAGCUGGAGAAGAUCAUCGCAACAUCACCAGCGCUCGAGGAACUGACACUUUGGGAUGUGAAUAUCCGAGGCAGAUUCAAAGAGUGGGUGAUUCAGGCGUCCAAUCUCCGGUUCCUCAAAAUUUGUUCGGCUUGUGAUUAUGGUUGGAACCUUGGGGAUCUUCCGCGCCUCGAUUAUGCUGUAAUUGAUGUAUGGGACUAUCUAGGUGGGGACUGUGAUUUCUCCAAAUUUAUCUCCAGCCUUGCAAGCGUUACUGAGCUUUGCAUAUAUACUUGUCAUCCACCGUCAAAUGGGGCUAAUAUGCUAGAGGAACUUCCAUGCACCUUUGUCAACUUAAAGAACUUGACGCUGUAUACACACUUCUGUGAACUUCCCUCAAUUUUGUCAACCUUUUGCUUGCUAAGGAAUGCUCCAAACCUUGAAAGACUCAAAAUACUGAUUUAUUAUGGCGAGGAGCAGAAAUUUGAGGCAAAUCGAGAGUUUCAAGAUGCACAAUGUACCGAUGGCAUGUGUGCCAACCUUCAGUUUGUGAAGAUGACUGGUAUUCACUGGCAUUCAAAUGAAAUGUCUUUCAUGGAGCUUAUUCUAUCUAAAGCAAGGCUUCUUCGCACAUUAUCCAUUAGUUAUGAUGAGGAAUGUGCAACGUCUAAUGAGGGUGCACUGAAGAAGUUACAAAAGUACAAAAAAGCUUCAACUCAUGCGAAGGUUAUAUUUAAAGGCAAAGCGGGAUCUUACUAG
rnacentral:rRNA from 1 species